rnacentral:rRNA from 1 species
AUUCCAGCUCCAAUAGCGUAUAUUAAAGUUGUUGCAGUUAAAAAGCUCGUAGUUGAAUUUAUGGCGAUUCCAUAGGCUGGCUUCGGUCGUUUAUGUGGUCGUCAUCCGCUUGGGAAUCUCGUUCGGCCUUCAUUGAUCGGCGUGAGGAUCAGGCAUUUUACUUUGAAAAAAUAAGAGUGUUCAAGGCAGGCAAUCGCCAUGAAUACAAAAGCAUGGAAUAAUGGAAUAGGACUGAGGUUCAUUUUAUUGGUUAUUGAACUUCAGUAAUGAUUAAUAGGGACAGUUGGGGGCAUUAGUAUUUAAUUGUCAGAGGUGAAAUUCUUGGAUUACUUAAAGACUAACUUAUGCGAAAGCAUUUGCCAAGGAUGUUUUCAUCA